rnacentral:ncRNA from 1 species
CAAAGGCUUGGUCCUGACUUUACUAUCAACUUUAGCUAAACUUACACAUGCAAGUAUCCGCACCCCCGUGAGAAUGCCCUACAGCUCCCCUACCGGGAGCAAGGAGCGGGUAUCAGGCACAUCCCCCGGAUAGCCCAUAACACCUUGCUAAGCCACACCCUCAAGGGAUUUCAGCAGUGAUAAAUAUUAAGCCAUAAGUGAAAACUUGACUUAGUUAAAGCUAUGCAGGGCCGGUAAAACUCGUGCCAGCCACCGCGGUUAUACGAGAGGCCCAAGUUGACAGACACUCGGCGUAAAGGGUGGUUAAAUAAUAGAUUAAACUAAAGCCGAACGCUCUCAGAACUGUUAUACGUACUCGAGAGUAAGAAGCCCCACCACGAAAGUGGCUUUACCCACUUGACCCCACGAAAGCUGUGAAACAAACUGGGAUUAGAUACCCCACUAUGCUCAGCCAUAAACAUAGGUAGUUCCAUACACUUUCUACCCGCCGGGGUACUACGAGCACCAGCUUGAAACCCAAAGGACUUGGCGGUGCUUAAGAUCCACCUAGAGGAGCCUGUUCUAGAACCGAUAACCCCCGUUCAACCUCACCCUCCCUUGUUUUUCCCGCCUAUAUACCGCCGUCGUCAGCUUACCCUGUGAAGGCCCCAUAGUAAGCAAGAAUAGCACAGCCCAAAACGUCAGGUCGAGGUGUAGCAUAUGAGAGGGGAAGAAAUGGGCUACAUUUCCUACAAUGUAGUGAAACACGAAUAUAAGGUUGAAACACCUUAUACGAAGGAGGAUUUAGCAGUAAGUAAAAAAUAGAGCGUUUUACUGAAAUUGGCCCUAAAGCGCGCACACACCGCCCGUCACUCUCCCCAAACUAACAGAAAAAUCCAUAAUAAACCUAACAAACAAAGGGGAGGCAAGUCGUAACAUGGUAAGUGUACCGGAAGGUGCACUUGGUCAAAU